ensembl:lncRNA
GGUCCCGGUGCUGGUUCUGUGCCGGUCGGUUCUGUCCAGUCCCGGUCCCGGUUCUGUCCGGUCCCGGUGCUGGUUCUGUGCCGGUCCCGGUUCUGUCCGGUCCUGGUCCCGGUUCUGUUCGGUCCUGGUCCCGGUGCUGGUUCUGUCAGUCUCAGUGCUGGUCCUGGUCCUGGUCCUGGUUCUGUCCUGUCCCGGUCCCGGUGCUGGUCCCGGUUCUGUCAGUCCCAUUCCCAGUGCUGGUGCCAGUUCUGCCCGGUUCCGGUUCUGCCCAGCACCGGUGCCGGUUCUGCCCGGUGCCGGCACUGGUUCUGCCCGGUGCCGGUUCUGACCCGCUCCCCCAGCCGUGGCCAUCGGCUGCGCCGCGUUCCGCUCCGUCUCCGGCAACGCCCGGAUCGAGUGGAAGUUCCAGAGGGGCUCGUCCCUGGUGCUGAUCUACUACGAGGAGAAGCUCACAGGUACCGGACAUUGGGGACAUUGGGGGACAUUGGGGNNNNNNNNNNGGUGCCACCCCGUGUGCCCGCAGUGCCCCCGGGGAAGCCGCUGGCGCACGUGCCCAGCUCGGCCACGGUGGGGGCGCGGGCGGUGCUGCGCUGCUCCGAGGCCCAGGGCUCGCCGCCGCCCACCUUCCGCUGGUACAAGGAUGGCACCGAGCUGCCCCGGGACCCCAAAUCCAGCCCCGCCUUCCGCAACUCCUCCUACAGCCUGGACCCCCGCAGCGGGGAGCUGGUCUUUGAGCCCGUGGGGGGCUGGGACACGGGCGAUUAUCACUGCGAGGCCUCCAACAACGUGGGCAGCCCCCAGAAAUCCGACGUCUUCCGCAUGGAAGCCAGUAAGGAGCGACCCCGAUCCCACUCCCCAUCCCAAUCCUGAUCCUGAUCCCGCUCUCAGUCCCGCUCCCAGUCUUAAUCCUGAUCCUCAUCCCAAUUCUGAUCCUGAUCCCCAUCCUAAUCCCAAUCCCCAUCCCAAUCCUGAUCCUGAUCCUGAUCCUGAUCCCGAUCCCCAUCCCAAUCCUGAUCUGGAUCCUGAUCCCAGUCCUGCUCCCAAUCCUGAUCCUGACCCCCAUCCCAAUCCUGAUCCUCAUCCCGAUCCUGAUCCCGAUCCAAAUCCCAACCCUGGUCCUGAUCCUGAUCCCAGUCCUGCUCCCAAUCCUGAUCCUGACCCCCAUCCCAAUCCCGAUCCUGAUCCUGAUCCAAAUCCCAAUACCGGUCCUGAUCCCCAUCCCAAUCCCCAUCCUGAUCCCAAUCCCCAUCCUGAUCCCAAUCCCAGUCCCCAUCCCAAUCUUGAUCCCCAUCCCCAUCACAAUCCCGCGGGAUCCCCCCAAUCCCCCAGGAUCCCCCCAAUCCCCUGGGAUCCCCCCAAUGCCCUGGGAUCCCCCAAUCCCCUUGGAUCCCCCAAUCCCCUGUGAUCCCUCCAAUCCCCCAGGAUCCCCCAAUUCCCCGGGAUCCCCUGCGAUCCCCCAGUCCCCCGGGAUCCCCCCAAUUCCCUGGGAUUCCCCCAAUCCCCCGGGGAUCCCCCAAUUCCCUGGGAUUCCCCGAUCCCAAGGGAUCCCCUCAAUCCUCUGGGAUCCCCCCAAUUC